UCCCCAGCCUGACACCUGAAAAACACUCUACCACAUAUAGGAAGUAUUCAACAAAGAGUUGUGAGAUCAAUUUUAGCUAACUGAACCUCCUAUUUCUCAUUUGCCAAAUUCUCUGCCAUAAUUAAUAUACUGUGUAUCUGUGAAACUCUAUCACAGGAUACGAUUCAAAAGCGAGAGGCCUUAUUAUGGGUUUUGUUCCUUGAUUUAGUGCUAGCACUUAGAACAUGCUUGGCCCGUAGUACGUGCUCUAGAUAUAUUUGCUAGACCAAUGGAUCAAAGUUUUGUAGAGUGGAAAAGCCCACCUUAUCAUCUUGACUGGAGUGUGGUACAUCAAAAUAAAUGUAUCAUGAAACUGUUAGGCUGGUGUCAGAAUUCCUCAAGGCCAGGUUUGCAGAAGAGAUUCACGUAAAGAACGUGUGGAAAUAUACUUGCAAGGUGGGGUCAUUUCAGUGUACUCAGACUCGAAGGCAAGAGGGUAGACUAAUUCUCCCCAUUCCCCCAACUGACCUUUCAUGUUCUCCUUCAGCCUUUACUUCCAUAAAACGUGUAAUUGCCCUUUCUGGCAGUUCAUAGAAAAGUGCUUUUCCCAGCCCUUGUAGGUUGCCCUGGAUGGAAAAUGCCCUGGGUUCUCACAGACUUAACACCCGGCCUUGUGAACAUGAGCAAGAUUAUUCUCUCCGAGCAGCUCUUUUCACAUGUGAUACGCUUGGCAGGCUGCCCUGGUAAGUGUCAAGCCCUGAAUGUUUUUGUUUUUGCCCUGGUGGUCCUGAGGAGUUACUGGAAUACUUCUGGGGAUCUGUUUUGUAUCAAACUGUGGGCCGAUAGUGACAUUGAGAAGAAGCAGGUAGAGACAGAGAGAGGGCUCUGGACUACAUCGCAUUUAAUUCUGAUAGCAGACUCCCUGUCUGCCCUGGCUGCCUCAAAGCUUCCUUCGGUCUUUCUUUGGCUCCUUCACUUUGUGCUUCUCAGUGUUACAGGGCAAUCUUUUGUGUGCAUGUGUUCCCCUUUUGCUCCCCAGAGAGGCUUGUCAAAACUCCUUAUCUGCUGAUGAAUGAAAGGAAUUUCUCCUGUGCGGGCGGGACCUGGUUAAUGCAGCUCUGGCCAGCACGGGUAGGUCACUGAGUUAAGGGAGCACCAAAAGGCAAAAUGCGCUGAAAAUAUCAGAGUAGCUGUUGUGCCAGGAAGCGCCAUCAGCAGGCAUUUUCCUCCAAGCAGAGGGAGGGACAGGAAGAAGAGAUGAGGAAAACUACUCACAGAAGUAUAUCCUGGAAGCAGAUCGUUUGCUUUAAAAGUCAGGAAGAAGCAGAUGAACUGAGGAACACUGUCUUCCACAUGUGGCUUCAUGAGUGGUUUCCAGCACUCCCCUGUGGACAUGCGAUAUGCGGUCUAGCAAAGGUAUCUUGAUGCCCCCCUAGUGUUCACAUGAAGAAUGCUGUGGUAACUAGUGGUACAUUGUUUUUUUUACUCAUCUACAAUCCAUUAUUUUCCUCUUGAUGGGGGUUAUCUCCUAAGGAUUUUGUGCUGUUGUUUUCUGUUGUUCGUUUGUAUGUUUGCACUACCUACAUGUCGGGUGUGGUGUUGUGUCUUGUAUGCAUCUUAUCAUUUAAUCUCCUCCUACAAAACACUAUGAUGUAGAUACUAUUAUUGGUCCAUUUUACAGAUGAGGAAACUGAAGCUUAGCAUGUUUGAGUAUCUUGUAUAAGAUCUCACAGCUGGUAACUACAUAUUUGUAUGGUUUUUGAUUAUUGACUAGCACUCCCACUGGACUAUGUCAUGCAAAGACAGAGAUUGUAUCUGCUGAGAUGCUUAUAUUCACCCCACGGUGCUUAAACCACGUAAUAGGGUCUUCAUACACAUAUGCUUAAUAAACAUUUGUUUAAUGAUUAAAUGAGAGAAUAAAUGAAUAAAGUUGGA